GUCUGGGUGGCUCAGUCAGUUAAGCAUCUGACUUCAGCUCAGGUCAUGAUCUCAUGGUUUGUGGGUUUGAUCCCCAUGUCAGGCU
rnacentral:tRNA from 1 species